rnacentral:rRNA from 1 species
UACGUAGGGCGCAAGCGUUUAUCCGGAAUUAUUGGGCGUAAAGAGCUCGUAGGCGGUCUGUUGCGUCCGCUGUGAAAACUCGGGGCUUAACCCCGAGCCUGCAGUGGAUACGGGCAGACUAGAGGUAGGUAGGGGAGAAUGGAAUUCCCGGUGUAGCGGUGAAAUGCGCAGAUAUCGGGAGGAACACCGGUGGCGAAGGCGGUUCUCUGGGCCUUACCUGACGCUGAGGAGCGAAAGCGUGGGGAGCGAACAGG